GCUGUCAGAAGAUUAGACAUCCUACGCCUCUCAAAGUUACUGGUAUCGAGCGAACAGAAUAAUAUAAGCCGCAGAUAAAUAAGCGCUUGACAAUUUCGUUCGGUUCCCAUCACGGCCAUGUCCUCGGCUUUUCAACCCAUUCGCUUUGGCUUCAAAGUACAAUUAUCUUAGUGCUGGGACAUACAUUGUUGAUUGUCUCUACUCACAACUUCUCUCUGCUCUUAUCUUCCUCACCCUCCUUUGGCAAUGUUUGACGUUAUUAGAAAGUUCAGACCUCAAAACGUAUUAUUCUUUCUCCUACGAUGCGGUAGUUGGGCAAAAGAAGGGACUUCUGUUCGGCUUGACGUUCGUGAAAAGGUGUGUGCGUCCCUAGCUCUUCUGCGUGGAUUGUGCUGCGCGAACAGGCAGAAACUGUCUUGACAGCUUUUUCAGAUGUACAGGAAAGCACAUUGAUUGUUUUGACAUAUAAUCUUGGCACGUACACUCUUCUUUUCCUCAACAUCCACACUUUGUUGUCAAUGAAGAUGCACGCACGGAAGACGAGCGUGCGAGAAUUGAUAAUCAAAGACUUCUGGUUAGGUCGGAUGAGCUGGUGGGAAGGAAGAAUCGAGCUGGAGCAUGAUGAAUUUUGAAAAGGUGUGAUGAUGUACACGUCCAUUUGUGUAUUUUUUCUGUACUUCUUCAUAGACGAUACUGUAUCAUACAAGACAUCCAUCCAUCCAUGCUUAUAUACCCCCCUCAUGCAUUUCCUCUGUACAAAUUUUGCUUCACAAUUGCUACGUCCACGAAGUUUAGCAACUAAAGUCUUGGACGAUCAUCAUUCUUGGUCCAAAAACCAAAAAAACGUUCAUAAAAGCUCGUCCAAAUCUAUCCUGACAUAAAGAACACUUUUCUAAAAACC
rnacentral:sRNA from 1 species